CGACGGUCGGGUUAUAUUUCAUAGGUGAAAAUAUUCUAAAUAUUUCCCGAUGAUAAGCAUUAAUUCACAUGUAAAGAUGAAUGAUAAAAUGUAACCAAAAAGAAACCCCGUUAGCUUUUAGAUAACCUAACAUUUAGCGAUGAGCUUUUGCUACAAGCAAUCAGUUUUCAUAUUUUUAAUUAAAUUAUCCUGAGAAACAUAUGAUUAUAGUGGGCAGGCAGGUUUUGGUCAGGGCUGGCAAGUAUUUCAGCUAGCCAGUCCUGUGGUCUGGCUGACAUUUUUAGGAGUUUCAUACCCUAACAGAACACACUACACAUUGCUUUGUGGUAACUAGUGUCAGUGUUUGAAAAGCACGGCAGUCGAGGAGUCUACAUUUUGGCAAGUUUAGAUUUCUUCAGGUCAGGAAUAUAACAAGAUUUCUUCAGGUCGUCAAGUUGGGGAUAUCAGGAUGGUAUUCUGAUUAUUGCGGUACGUACCAUACAUGGUUUUGAUGCAGUCGUAGCCCUUGAAGUCCCACAGCUUGAUGGUCAUGUCGGCCGAGCAGGAGGC